CUGCACAUACCUCAGAUACGUGCGGCGGCUUGAUUUCUUUGAGAUGCCUGACUACGACUACCUCAGAAAGCUAUUCUUGGAUCUACUGGAACGCAAGGGCUGGUCCAACGACAGCGAAUUUGAUUGGGUGGGACGCACGUCUGGGGUGACGCCGGCUGGAUCGUUCAUGAUGCAGGAUCGUGAGGUCGGGCCACCGAUACGCGAUACUGAGCUCGCACGGGAACGACAUCGCACUAGCCAAACCAA